AUGUGGAACGCUGGAAACAGAAGACACAGAGGAGGAGAGGUGUACAUGUUCCAUCCAUCACAAAGCCUUUUCUUUCUGAGGAGACCAAAGGGCCGAAGCUGUUGUGUUUAUUCAGGACAUGCCUUCCCUCACAUCUCAGUCAACACACGUCCUGUCUGAGGAACAUGGAAAACCAAGAAAUGGCCACAGCAAGCCUUCCCCACAGUCUGACACAUCACAGCUGAUCUUACAUGUAUUUAGCUUUACAUGGAAAAAAGAAGUUAUUCCAGAUGAAGAUUUCUGCUCCAUGUGAGUCCCAGAGACAGGAUCCAUGCUCACGUUGCAAUAUAGUUUAUAUUUGCUGGAAUACAAUUAUUUAAAGAUGUUCUUGGACCCUGAUGAUGGACGAUGAUAUUAUAAAACUAUUGACCUUGUUUCCCCAACUACCCAACAUCUGUGGUCACUGACGGACAGGAA